GAUGAACGCUGGCGGCGUGCCUAAUACAUGCAAGUCGAGCGAACAGACGAGGAGCUUGCUCCUCUGACGUUAGCGGCGGACGGGUGAGUAACACGUGGAUAACCUACCUAUAAGACUGGGAUAACUUCGGGAAACCGGAGCUAAUACCGGAUAAUAUAUUGAACCGCAUGGUUCAAUAGUGAAAGACGGUUUUGCUGUCACUUAUAGAUGGAUCCGCGCCGCAUUAGCUAGUUGGUAAGGUAACGGCUUACCAAGGCAACGAUGCGUAGCCGACCUGAGAGGGUGAUCGGCCACACUGGAACUGAGACACGGUCCAGACGCCUACGGGAGGCAGCAGGAGGGAAUCUGCCGCAAUGGGCGAAAGCCUGACGGAGCAACGCCGCGGGAGGGAUGAAGGUCUUCGGAUCGGAAAACUCUGUUAUUAGGGAAGAACAAAUGUGUAAGUAACUAUGCACGUCUGGACGGUACCUAAGCAGAAAGCCACGGCUAACUACGG
rnacentral:rRNA from 1 species